CAGUAGCCGCGGUAAUACGGAGGGUGCAAGCGUUACUCGGAAUCACUGGGCGUAAAGGACGCGUAGGCGGAUUAUCAAGUCUCUUGUGAAAUCUAACGACUUAACCGUUAAACUGCUUGGGAAACUGAUAAUCUAGAGUAAGGGAGAGGCAGAUGGAAUUCUUGGUGUAGGGGUAAAAUCCGUAGAGAUCAAGAAGAAUACCCAUUGCGAAAGCGAUCUGCUGGAACUUAACUGACGCUAAUGCGUGAAAGCGUGGGGAGCAAACAGGAUUAGAUACCUGCGUAGUCCCUGUCUCUUAUAC
rnacentral:rRNA from 1 species